rnacentral:miRNA from 1 species
CACUCUAAGUUUGAACACCAAGC